rnacentral:lncRNA from 1 species
UUUUAUACAGGGUCACUCUUUAUCAUUACUGCUGUAAAACCUGCUGCAAUUGGAAGAGAAAAUGAUCCUGAGCAUGCUCUUUGAAUCCCUGAAGUUGAUGUCAGAAAAUAACGUGCUCUGAAAGCUUAAUGCAGAUAACUAAAAUUACCGAUAAGUUGCAAGAAUUCACAAAAUGCCUGAUAUAGUUGAAAGAAAAAUAUGGAAACUUCUCAGGACCAGAAGAAAAUAAAGUAGAG